AGAGUUUGAUUAUGGCUCAGGAUGAACGCUGGCGGCAGGCUUAAUACAUGCAAGUCGAACGGUAAGGCCGAGUGUAGCAAUACACGAGGUACACGAGUGGCGCACGGGUGCGUAACGCGUAUGCAACCUGCCCCUGACCGGGACAAAACAGCUGGAAACGGCUGCUAAUAUCCCAUGGUUACCGAGGAGGGCAUCCUCCUUUGUAUAAAGAUUCAUUGGUCGGGGAUGGGCAUGCGUAUUAUUAGGUAGUUGGUGGGGUAACGGCCCACCAAGCCGACGAUGAUUAGGGGUUCUGAGAGGAUUAACCCCCACACUGGAACUGAGACACGGUCCAGACUCCUACGGGAGGCAGCAGUAGGGAAUAUUGGGCAAUGGAGGCAACUCUGACCCAGCCAUGCCGCGUGAAGGAAGACGGCCCUAUGGGUUGUAAACUUCUUUUAUCGUGGAGUAAACCCGGUCACGUGUGGCCGGUUGAGAGUACACGAGGAAUAAGUAUCGGCUAACUCCGUGCCAGCAGCUGC
rnacentral:rRNA from 1 species